GGGUUCACUGAUGUCUAUGAUGCAGUCGAGCGGGAACAGGGGUAGCUUGCUACCCGCUGACGAGCGGCGGAAGGGUGAGUAGUGCAUAGGAAUCUGCCCGAUGGUGGGGGAUAACCUGGGGAAACCCAGGCUAAUACCGCAUACGUCCUACGGGAGAAAGGGGGCUGCGGCUCCCGCUAUUGGAUGAGCCUAUGUCGGAUUAGCUAGUUGGUGAGGUAAUGGCUUAACAAGGCAACGAUCCGUAGCUGGUCUGAGAGGAUGAUCAGCCACAUCGGGACUGAGACACGGCCCGAACUCCUACGGGAGGCAGCAGUGGGGAAUAUUGGACAAUGGGGGCAACCCUGAUCCGCCAUGCCGCGUGUGUAAGAAGGCCCUCGGGUUGUAAAGCACUUUCAGCGAGGAAGAACGCCUAUCGGUUAAUACCCGGUAGGAAAGACAUCACUCGCAGAAGAAGCACCGGCUAACUCCGUGCCAGCAGCCGCGGUAAUACGGAGGGUGCAAGCGUUAAUCGGAAUUACUGGGCGUAAAGCGCGCGUAGGUGGCUUGAUAAGCCGGUUGUGAAAGCCCCGGGCUCAACCUGGGAACGGCAUCCGGAACUGUCAGGCUAGAGUGCAGGAGAGGAAGGUAGAAUUCCCGGUGUAGCGGUGAAAUGCGUAGAGAUCGGGAGGAAUACCAGUGGCGAAGGCGGCCUUCUGGACUGACACUGACACUGAGGUGCGAAAGCGUGGGUAGCAAACAGGAUUAGAUACCCUGGUAGUCCACGCCGUAAACGAUGUCGACCAGCCGUUGGGUGCCUAGAGCACUUUGUGGCGAAGUUAACGCGAUAAGUCGACCGCUGGGGAGUACGGCCGCAAGGUUAAAACUCAAUGAUUUGACGGGGCCCGCAAAGCGUGGAGCAUG
rnacentral:rRNA from 1 species